UAUCUCAAGGAGCAGUACGAUAUGAAAUUUUUGUUAACGGCAAAAUUGAAUCAGGACUGCCUGGAAAAUUUUUUUAGCGCUAUAAGGACUAAAGGGGGUCUCCAUGAUCAUCCUUCUCCGUUGGAAUUCAAAUACAGACUCCGAUCGUAUAUAUUAGGCCGCAAUGAACAUACACUGAGCGCUUAUGCAAAUGUUAAAUCAACUUAAGAUCAAGUUCUCACCAGCAUCGAACUCGAUGAAGCUUUUUUGACUCAAGGAUUGUACAAGGAUAUUUUAGAAAAUUUUGAAAAUACUCCUGAGGAACUCGCAGAGAUUUCUGAGGAACAGGAUGCGUUAGAG